CCUACGGGUGGCAGCAGUGGGGAAUAUUGCACAAUGGGGGAAACCCUGAUGCAGCGACGCCGCGUGAGUGAAGAAGUAAUUCGUUAUGUAAAGCUCUAUCAGCAGGGAAGAAAAUGACGGUACCUGAGUAAGAAGCCCCGGCUAACUACGUGCCAGCAGCCGCGGUAAUACGUAGGGGGCAAGCGUUAUCCGGAUUUACUGGGUGUAAAGGGAGCGUAGUCGGCAGUGCAAGUCUGGAGUGAAAGGCGGGGGCUCAACCCCCGGACUGCUCUGGAAACUGUACGGCUGGAGUGCAGGAGAGGUAAGUGGAAUUCCGUGUGUAGCGGGGAAAUGCGUAGAUAUACGGAGGAACACCAGUGGCGAAGGAGGAUUGCUGGACAGUAACUGACGCUGAGGCGCGAAAGCGUGGGGAGCAAACAGGAUUAGAUACCCCGGUAGU
rnacentral:rRNA from 1 species